rnacentral:rRNA from 1 species
UACAGAGGUCUCAAGCGUUGUUCGGAUUCAUUGGGCGUAAAGGGUGCGUAGGCGGCGCGGUAAGUCGGGUGUGAAAUCUUGGAGCUUAACUCCGAAACUGCAUUCGAUACUGCCGUGCUUGAGGACUGGAGAGGAGACUGGAAUUUACGGUGUAGCGGUGAAAUGCGUAGAUAUCGUAAGGAAGACCAGUGGCGAAGGCGGGUCUCGUGGACAGUUCCU